UCCCCGUUACCGGGGCGGUCUGAUUAGAAAAAUACAACUAAUCACAGGGGUUGCGCUCGUUGAUGGACUUAACCAAACAUCUCACGACACGAGCUGACGACGGCCAUGCAUCAUCUGUCACAGGGUUCCAAAAGGCACAUUCUACUUUCGUAGAGUUUCCCUGGAUGUCAAGCCCUGGUAAGGUUCUUCGUUUAGCAUCGAAUUAAAGAACAUGAUCCACCGCUUGUGCGGGUCCCCGUCAAUUCCUUUAUGUUUUAGUCUUGCGACCGUACUCCACAGGCGGGAUACUUAACGCGUUAGCUUCGCUACUGAAGGGGUCGAUACCUCCAACAGCUAGUAUCCAUCGUUUACGGCGUGGACUAC
rnacentral:misc_RNA from 1 species